rnacentral:rRNA from 1 species
GCAAGUCGAACGGGAACGUUUCCUUCGGGAAACUAGUAUAGUGGCGGACGGGUGAGUAACACGUGAUCAACGUACCUGCAGGACCGGGAUAGCCAUCCGAAAGGGUGAGUAAUACCGGAUAUGACCACAGCAUCUCCUGGUGCAGUGGUAAAAGUUUUUCGCCUGCAGAGCGGAUCGCGGCCUAUCAGCUUGUUGGUGAGGUAAAAGCUCACCAAGGCGACGACGGGUAGCCGGCCUGAGAGGGUGGAC